CAGAUCAAGCUUCCUGAUUCUUCUUUGAGGGUUUAAGAAUAUAGGCUGCCGUGAUUUAGUUGUCCCUUGAGGAAAGGAGCACAAAUCAAGAAGGCUUUCAGGGGUGUUGUUCCGUUUCAAUUGACCAGGUUUCUCCUCAUUCAUGAGAUGUGAACCUCAACUGAUUUGUACCAAGUUGUGGAAGAGUAAUUACUUGUAUUUCUGUUAGAAAGUUCUCUGAAGGAUAAAGGGUGAGUAAUAUGUUAUAUAGAUAGAUAAUGAAGAAUCUAUACUGAUUCAUAAAUCUUGAAUACCUGAUUGUUAAAUAUUUAAAAUGUAUCAAGCCAUUUGUAUAGACUUUCAUUAUAUUAAUUCAAUUUCAAAAGUUUUUUUAGGAACUAGCUUAUUAUUUUCUGUCUCUAUAGCUCUAUUUCCUUUAAUAUUUUAUUGUUUAAUUAACUUUCAUGGAACUUCUCUUAUUUUAGCAAUUUUAAAGAAUUGUUUACCAAAUUUAUAUACAACCUUCCAAAAACUGCCUAUAAUUAUUAUUAAUUUGUCAAAAUUGAUUUAAUUAUAAUAAGAUUAUUUAGUGGAUACAUCUUAUAGCUUCUGAAUUAAAGAAUGACAAAAAGGGGGACUUAACUGAUGCUAAGAUAUUAGGGAUCUGCUGGUUCUAUUCAGUAUCACAGUGGCAGUUGAACUGAAAUGUUUGUGUUUUGAUGUCCCACCUGCUCAAUCUUAUACUUUUUGGUUACUAUGGUAAGAAAAAUUGGUAGAGUUGAAUGUAAGGAAUAGACAAAAAUGGUUUAGCAAAAUCCUGUCUGAGUCUGGCAGAAAUCCUGCUCUCUCCCCAUUUUGUCCACCCUCAAACUUGCCAAGCCUUGUUCACUUUGGCUUUAUUUUAAAAAUGCAUUUCUGGUGAGUGAGGAAAGGUUUUGUACUGUGUUUUCAAUGACUCACCCAAAAUAACUCCAUUGAACUUGUAAACGGUUCUGUUCUGAAUGCAGAUUGUGUUUGUUCUGAGAUGGGCAUGAAGGAGCUGCAGAAAGGAGAUUAGAGAAGGGAAAUGUGGGAGAGGCAGUACAGUUUAUAUUUAUUCAGGUUUAGGCACACAUAAGAAUUAUUUUUAAAAAAGACAUUGUGUAUGUGUGCAUGUAUGUGUGUGUGUUAAAGAACUAUCUAUGAGGUCAGUACCAUUUAAAGCGUUUAAAGAUAUAUUAGUAUUAGAUAUGGUUUAUGUAGUCACCAACCUCUUCUGAUUCUUAUAAAAUGAGGUAGGAAAAUUUACAUGUGAAUAUAUAAUUCCAAAUAUGUGCAUUGUGAAACUUUUUAAAGUGCUAAAUGGCUUCAAAUAGGGAAUAAUAAUAUAUGUGAUAUAAGCUAGAAAUCAGUCUUAAAACAGGAAGAAUAUAUCUAUCAAGACAUUGAUCAUAUGAUAAGACAGUGUCAAAACUAGGAAAUGGAAUAAUGACAUCCUCUUGUUUUGUUGUGUCAGCAUAAAAAUGUUUAAUAUCAAGUGGCAUAAACUGAGUAUUUAAUACUGAUAGAUGUGCCUCAAAAGAUUUUAUGUUUGAAAAUGUCAGAGAUCUUUAAAACAAUAUUUAAGGCAGAACUGAAAAGAAAAAGAAAAAAGGACUGAUCUAAAUUUUCAUGAAUUCAUGAAACAGACCAAAUAAAACUUACUCUGUUACAUAAUCUUGCUUCAGUCAAUUGUUGAUGAAGAAUAGAUGAGCUAUUCUUACCUGUUGCUCAGAAACACCAAAGAAUUGAGCCACUGGGGG